GUUGCUUCGGUCUACUCCAACCCAUUGUGACCUUACCUAUGUUCUGUUGCCUCGGCGGCGUGGUCAGCGCCCCUCUGAAAAGAGGACGAUGCCCUCCCGCCGGCAGCACCAAACUCGAGAAUUUUACAGCGGAUUACAGUUCUGAUUUGAAAACAAAAAAACAAGUUAAAACUUUCAACAACGGAUCUCUUGGUUCUGGCAUCGAUGAAGAACGCAGCGAAAUGCGAUAAGUAAUGUGAAUUGCAGAAUUCAGUGAAUCAUCGAAUCUUUGAACGCACAUUGCGCCCGGCAGUAAUCUGCCGGGCAUGCCUGUCCGAGCGUCAUUUCAACCCUCGAACCUCCGUUUCCUCAGGGAAGCUCAGGGUCGGUGUUGGGGCGCUACGGCGAGUCUUCGCGACCCUCCGUAGGCCCUGAAAUACAGUGGCGGUCCCGCCGCGGUUGCCUUCUGCGUAGUAAGUCUCUUUUGCAAGCUCGCAUUGGGUCCCGGCGGAGGCCUGCCGUCAAACCACCUAUAACUCCAGAUGGUUUGACCUCGGAUCAGGUAGGGUUACCCGCUGAACUUAAGCAUAUCA
rnacentral:rRNA from 1 species